rnacentral:tRNA from 1 species
AUCCCUGUAGCUCAGAGGACAGAGCACCAGACUACGAAUCUGGGAGUCGCGCGUUCGAAUCGCGCCGGGGUA